rnacentral:rRNA from 1 species
CGCGACCCCAGGCAGGCGGGAACACCCGCUGAGUUUAAGCAAUCAAUAAGCCGGGAGGAAAAAAGAAACUUAUCCAGGAUUCCCUAGUAAACGCGAGCCGAACGGGAAGAGCCAGCUUGAAGAUCGGCGACCUCGGCGUACAAUGAGAUAGUCUGGAGAAGCGUCCUCAGCGGCGGACGGGCCCAAGUCCCCUGGAAGGGGGCGCCGGAGAAGGGUAGAGGCCCCGUCGUGCCCGGACCCUGUCUGCAGCCAACGAGGCGGCUGUCUGCAGUCGGGUUGUUUGGGAAAUGCAGCCCCAAUGCGGCGGUAAAUUCCGUCCAAGGCUAAAUGACGUGCGAUGAGACCGAUAGCGGAACAGUACCGUGCGAGGGAAAGAUGAAAAGUUAAGACUUUUGAAAAGAGAGUCAAAAGAUGGCUUUGAAAUGUCGGAAGGGAAGCGAUGGGGGCGGCCGAUUUGCGCCCGGUCGGAUGUGGAACGGGACAAGCCGUCCGCCGAUCGGCUCGGGGCGCGGACCGACGCGGAUCGCGGCGGCGGCCCAAGCACGGGCACUAAGAAAACGCCCGGCGGAGACGCGCCGUCGGCAGCGAUCGUGGACAUACAGCGCGCGCCGUCAGCGGCGUGCCCGGCACCGCCGCUGCGCUCCUGGGCGUCGGGCCAGCGGGCUCCCACAUUCGGCCCCGUCUUAAACACGGACCCAACGGAGGUCUGACAUUGGCGAUUCAACGGGCGAGUAAACCAACGUAAGGCGCAAGGAACUGACGGCAGGAUCCCCUCGAGGGUUGCAACCGCCGACCGACUCUGACUUCUGAGAAGGGUUCGAGUGAGAGCAUGCCUGUCGGGACCCGAAAGAUGGUGAACUAUGCCUGAAGCGGGGCGAAGCCAGAGGAAACUCUGGUGGAGGCCCGCAGCGAUACUGCGUUGCAAAUCGUUCGUCUGAUCUUGGGUAAAAUACGGGGCGAAAGACUAAUCGAACCGUCUAGUAGCUGGUUCCCUCCGAAGUUCCUCAAGGAUAAGCUGGAGCAUCGGGACGAUUCUAGUGGGGGUAAAGCCAAUUGAUUAGUAGGCAAUCGGGGAUGGCCAUACUCCCUCUUCGGUACUUAUUUCUUCAAUACUUUAGAAUAGGUAGGUACUGGCGCGGUCCUGCUUUCGCUGAGCGGCGCCCUCGGAAAUCGAGUAAGCUCCUAGUGGCCAUUUUUGGUAAUGUCAGAACUGGCUGUAUUGCGGGAUGAAUUCUCGGAAGCCGGGUUACGUGUGUCCCAACUGCCUGCGCUAACCCAGAACCUCCAUUAGGGUUGUUGGUCGAUUAAGACAGCAGGGUACGGGUGGUCAUGUGAAGUUCGAAAUUCUCGCUAAGGAUUGUUGUAACAACUCACGCUGCCGAAUUCAACUAUGCCCGAAAUAUUGGAUGCGCUUAAGCUGCUGUCUGAGCUAUACUCCGGCCUGUUCGGGGCAAUGAUGCCAGGUUCCCCGAUUGAGUAAGGGAGGGCGCGGCUGGUCCCUGCUGCAUUAAACUCCGUGGUCCGCUGGAUGCCCGGUGCGGAGCGGCCGUUCCGGUGCUGACUUGGUGUUUAGUAGCAAAAUAUCAAAUGAGGAACUUUGAAGGCCGAAGAGGGGUAAAGGUUCCAUGUGAAUCGGCAGCUUGCACAUGGUUUAUGUCGAGAUCCUAAGAGACGGGGGAAUGCCGGCCCGCAGCGCGUCCGGCAGGCGCGAAGGCCUUCGAAAGGAAUCGGGUAAAAUCCGAAAUCCGGGACGCGGCGGCUGAUCGGCAACGUUAGCGGAGUCGGAGACGUUCGGCGGGGCCUCUGGAAGAGUUAUCUGUUUUCUGUUUUAACAGCCCGCCACCUAGGAAACGACUCAGUCGGCAGGUAGGGUCCAGCGGCCGGAAGAGGCACCGCACGUCGCGCGUGGUCCCGGUGCGCCCCCGGCGGCCCGUGAAAAUCCCGGAGGACGAGUGCCUCCCCCCGCGCCUCUGGUUCGGUACUCCAAUAACCGCAUCCACAAGUCUCCAAGGUGAACAGCCUCUGGACAAUGAACAUGUAGGCAAGGGAAGUCGGCAAAAACGGAUCCGUAAACUCGGGAAAAGAUUGGCUCCUGAGGCUGGGCCCCGGGGUUCCCAGUCCCCGGACAUCGUCGGCUGUCGCAGGACUGCUCGAGCUGCUCCCGCGGCGAGAAGCGGGUCGCCGAGUGCCGGCCGGGGAACGGAACUGGGAACGCCGCCUCCGGGGGCCUUCCCCGCGGCGUCGAACAGUCGACCAGAACUGGUACGACAAAGGGAAUCCGACUGUUUAAAUUAAAACAAAGCAGUUGCGAUGGUCCCUGGCGGUAUUGCUCACGCAAUGUGAUUUCCUGCCCCCAGUUGCAUCUGAAUGUCAAAGUGAAGAAAUUCAACCAAAGCGCGGUGUAAGACGGCGGGAGUAACUAUGACUCUAAUUGGUAGCCAAAUGCCUCGUCAUCUAAUUAGUGACGCGCAUGAAUGGAUUAAGAAGAUUCGCCACUGUCCCUGUCUACUAUCCACGGAAACCACAAAGCCCAAGGAACGGGCUUGGCGGAAAUCAGCGGGGGAAAGAAGACCCUGUUGGCUUGACUCUAGUCCGACUUUUGGUGAAAUGACUUGAGAGUGUAGGAUAAGUGGGACCCGGCAAAACGGGCGACGGUGAAAUACCACACUUUUAACGUUAUUUACUUAUUCCCGUGAAUCGGGGCGGGGCCUCGCCCUCUUUUGGACCAGGCCGCCACGAGCGGCCGAUUCCGGCGGAAGAACCAUUGUCAGGUGGGAGUUUUGGCUGGGGGCGGCACAUCUGUUAAAGAGAUAACGCCAGGUGUCCUAAGAUGAGGCCUCAACGAGAACAGAAAUCUCGUGUGGAACAAAAGGUAAAAGCCUCGUUUUAUUCUGAUUUCCCAGUACGAAUUACGACCGUGAAACGUGGCCUUAUCGAUCUUUAGAACCUUCGGAAUUGAAGCUAGAGGUGUCAAAAAGUUACCACAGGGAUAACUGGCUUUGCAAGACAAAGCGUUCAUAGCGACGUUGCUUUUGACCUCCGGAUGUUCGGCUCUUUCUAUCAAAUUGUGAAGCAGAAUUCACCAAUGUUGGAUUGUUCCACCCACCAAUAGGGAACGUGGAGCUGGUUUAGACCGUCGUGAGACAGUUUAGUUUUACCCUACUGGAUGACCGGCGUCGCGAUGGUAAAUUAACCUAUACGAGGGAACCGUUGAAUGUCGCACAAUUGGUCAUUCCGGCGCUUGGUUUGAAAAGCCAGUGCGCAAGCUACCGUGCGCUGGAAUUAAUGACUGAACGCCUCUAAGUCAGAACCGGGCCAGAAGCGACGCCCGUGUCCGCGCCCGCUUACCGACCGCGCAGUAGGGGCCCUCCGGCCCCCAGAGGCACGUGCCUGGCCAAGCCUCCCGCGGCGGACGAGCCGCGCGGGCCGGCCUUGAGUAAACUAUUCCCACCGGGCGUCGGGGGCCAAGAAUCCUUUGCAAAGACGACUUAAAUACGCGACGGGGUAUUGUAAGUGGCAGAGUGGCCUUGCGCCCAACGAUCCACUGAGAUUCAGCCCUUUGU